UAGAGAAAGGGUAGGAAAAAGAGAAGCCCAGAGACCUGAAGCAAUUCACUGGCCCACAGAUGGCCCACCCGCCCUGAUUCCCCAGUGCCUCUGUGCCCGAGCUCUGAGCAGAUGGAAAAGGCUUUACAUUUAAUAGGCAAUUGGCUUUAUUUUCUAUGCUUUUAUUUUUCCCUCUUUGGCUUCCUAAUAAGAAAGCUACCCAGGGGCUAGGGAGGGGACAGCAGUAGGGAGGAGAGGUAAGUGGAGAAGCAUCCUCCAGGGCACCGUAUUCCAGACUAUUAGAGAUGUUGGCCUGUUCAUUCUUCUCUCCAAACCUGAGGUUUGUCCUCCUCAGCAAGCCUGGCUUUGCACUCUGCCUGCAGUUCAACUCAAAGAAUCCCAGAGUAAGAGAGAAGAAAAAUAACUUGGUAGAAAAAAGCAAGGAAACUAUCUUAUAGUCGUCUACUCAAAAUCAGUCAGGGUGAUGCUAGUCCAUGUAUUUGCCAGAUUCGUGUUCUUUCUACCUGGCCUAGGAUAUUUGGGUGUUCCAACUUGCCUCAGUUAAUCCAGCCCCUCCCAUGUGUGCCAGGAGCUGUGUUAGGCACUUUAUAUAUUUUCUGUGGGCCUCAUUAAUGUCUCAGGUAGGUAUGCAUUUUGAAAAGAUAAAAACCUGAGACUCAGAAGAGAUGAGGCGACCUUCCCAAACUCGCAGAGGUUACACAUGAUGGAGUGAGGAUUCAAAGCCAGAGUCUUUGAAGACUCACAGACUUGUCCCUGUGCUAUGAUGUAUGUAAAUCCCAGCAUUGCUGCCCAGUGACAAACCACAGAGAGCCAGCAAGGCAUGCAGGCCCCCUUGCAGCAUCCCAGAGCAGGCUGGCAAGGCAGGAGGGCUAGCCAGCAUUUUGUGAGCCAUCAGUCUGGCCAUCUGUCCCCUCAUAGAAGCAAACUGUGCCUUCUGGCUGUGUGCCUCAUGUUCCCAACAUCAGAGAAGCCCAACGCCGCCAGCAGGGGAGUGGGAUGGCCUGCUGGGUGCUGGCAGUGCUGAUCCUUGCUUACCCUCUCCCACCAUACACACCCUGAGUCAUCCCAGCUUAUAUGCAGCCACUAGCUCUUAUCAGGCAGUUCCUCAGGCUGACUCUCAGAAGGCUGAUUCAAGAGGAUUGGGGUCUUGUGCCCUGUAAGGUCCCCAGGAACUCUACAGUGUCCUUGGCAAGUCCCCUCCUUUGUGGUCUCUCCCCUGGCUUGCUCCAUGGCCACUGAUCCAGUCACUUUGUCGCCUAUGCUCCUACUGUGAUGGAAAAUGAAACAAGUAUAACUUAUUUUGUAUCUAUGUUCAGACUAUAUGAGAGAAUAUUCUAUGUAUCUAUGAUGUGCUUACUACUGCAGUGCGUUUGUCAUUAGGAUUCAUGUCAAUACAGC
rnacentral:lncRNA from 1 species